rnacentral:rRNA from 1 species
GACGAACGCUGGCGGCGUGCUUAACACAUGCAAGUCGAACGGAAAGGCCCUGCUUUUGUGGGUUGCUCGAGUGGCGAACGGGUGAGUAACACGUGAGUAACCUGCCCUUGACUUUGGGAUAACUUCAGGAAACUGGGGCUAAUACCGGAUAGGAGCUCCUGCUGCAUGGUGGGGGUUGGAAAGUUUGGGCGGUUGGGGAUGGACUCGCGGCUUAUCAGCUUGUUGGUGGGGUAGUGGCUUACCAAGGCUUUGACGGGUAGCCGGCCUGAGAGGGUGACCGGCGACAUUGGGACUGAGAUACGGACCAGAAUCCUACGGGAGGCAGCAGUGGGGAAUAUUGCACAAUGGGCGGAAGCCUGAUGCAGAAACGCCGCGAGCGGGAUGACGGCCUUCGGGUUGUAAACAGCUUUCGCCUGUGACGAAGAGUGAGUGACGGUAAUGGGUAAAGAAGCACCGGCUAACUACGUG